rnacentral:tRNA from 1 species
CGGGCUGUGGCGCAGCUUGGUAGCGCGCUUCGUUUGGGACGAAGAUGUCGCAGGUUCAAAUCCUGUCAGCCCGACCA